AAUCAACGCUGGCGGCGUGCCUCAGACAUGCAAGUCGAACGAUUAAACUUUCCUUCGGGAAAGAUAUAAAGUGGCGCACGGGUGAGUAACACGUAAGUAAUCUACCUUUGAGUGGGGAAUAACGUUCGGAACGAACGCUAAUACCGCAUAAUGCAGCGGCACCUAAUGGUGACAGUUGUUAAAGGAGCAAUCCGCUUAAAGAGGAGCUUGCGGCAGAUUAGCUAGUUGGUAAGGUAACGGCUACCAAGGCUACGAUCUGUAACCGGUCUAAGAGGACGGUCGGUCACACUGACACUGAAUAACGGGUCAGACUCCUACGGGGAGGCAGCAGUCGGGGAAUUUUGGGCAAUGGGCGAAAGCCUGACCCAGCAACGCCGCGUGAAGGAUGAAGU
rnacentral:rRNA from 1 species